rnacentral:sRNA from 1 species
UGAUCUAUUCGACCUUCGCGGUUUCCAACCGAGGGCGCCGGCCGUUGAGGCCGGCGCCUUUUUCUUUGGCGC